GAUGAACGCUGGCGGCGUGCCUAAUACAUGCAAGUCGAGCGAACAGAUGAGGAGCUUGCUCCUCUGACGUUAGCGGCGGACGGGUGAGUAACACGUGGAUAACCUACCUAUAAGACUGGGAUAACUUCGGGAAACCGGAGCUAAUACCGGAUAAUAUAUUGAACCGCAUGGUUCAAUAGUGAAAGACGGUUUUGCGGUCACUUAUAGAUGGAUCCGCGCCGCAUUAGCUAGUUGGUAAGGUAACGGCUUACCAAGGCAACGAUGCGUAGCCGACCUGAGAGGGUGAUCGGCCACACUGGAACUGAGACACGGUCCAGACUCCUACGGGAGGCAGCAGUAGGGAAUCUUCCGCAGUGGGCGAAAGCCUGACGGAGCAACGCCGCGUGAGUGAUGAAGGUCUUCGGAUCGUAAAACUCUGUUAUUAGGGAAGAACAAAUGUGUAAGUAACUAUGCACGUCUUGACGGUACCUAAUCAGAAAGCCACGGCUAACUACGUG
rnacentral:rRNA from 1 species